UACGGAGGGUGCAAGCGUUAUCCGGAUUCACUGGGUUUAAAGGGUGCGUAGGUGGGCAGGUAAGUCAGUGGUGAAAUCCCCGAGCUUAACUUGGGAACUGCCGUUGAUACUAUCUGUCUUGAAUAUCGUGGAGGUAAGCGGAAUAUGUCAUGUAGCGGUGAAAUGCAUAGAGAUGACAUAGAACACCAAUUGCGAAGGCAGCUUGCUACACGGUAAUUGACACUGAGGCACGAAAGCGUGGGGAGCAAACAGG
rnacentral:rRNA from 1 species